GUAGGUGGCAAGCGUUGUCCGGAAUUAUUGGGCGUAAGGCGCGCGCAGGCGGUUCUUUAAGUCUGAUGUGAAAGCCCACGGCUCAACCGUGGAGGGUCAUUGGAAACUGGAGAACUUGAGUACAGAAGAGGAAAGCGGAAUUCCACGUGUAGCGGUGAAAUGCGUAGAGAUGUGGAGGAACACCAGUGGCGAAGGCGGCUUUCUGGUCUGUAACUGACGCUGAGGCGCGAAAGCGUGGGGAGCAAACAGGGAUUAGAUACCCUGGUAGUCCACGCCGUAAACGAUGAGUGCUAAGUGUUAGGGGGGUUUCCGCCCCCUUAGUGCUGCAGCUAACGCAUUAAGCACUCCGCCCCGGGGAGUACGGCCGCAAGGCUG
rnacentral:rRNA from 1 species